rnacentral:rRNA from 1 species
AGACCUCAGGUCAGGCGGGGCUACC